GAUGAACGCUGGCGGCGUGCCUAAUACAUGCAAGUCGAGCGAACGGACGAGAAGCUUGCUUCUCUGAUGUUAGCGGCGGACGGGUGAGUAACACGUGGAUAACCUACCUAUAAGACUGGGAUAACUUCGGGAAACCGGAGCUAAUACCGGAUAAUAUUUUGAACCGCAUGGUUCAAAAGUGAAAGACGGUCUUGCUGUCACUUAUAGAUGGAUCCGCGCUGCAUUAGCUAGUUGGUAAGGUAACGGCUUACCAAGGCAACGAUGCAUAGCCGACCUGAGAGGGUGAUCGGCCACACUGGAACUGAGACACGGUCCAGACUCCUACGGGAGGCAGCAGUAGGGAAUCUUCCGCAAUGGGCGAAAGCCUGACGGAGCAACGCCGCGUGAGUGAUGAAGGUCUUCGGAUCGUAAAACUCUGUUAUUAGGGAAGAACAUAUGUGUAAGUAACUGUGCACAUCUUGACGGUACCUAAUCAGAAAGCCACGGCUAACUACGUGCCAGCAGCCGCGGUAAUACGUAGGUGGCAAGCGUUAUCCGGAAUUAUUGGGCGUAAAGCGCGCGUAGGCGGUUUUUUAAGUCUGAUGUGAAAGCCCACGGCUCAACCGUGGAGGGUCAUUGGAAACUGGAAAACUUGAGUGCAGAAGAGGAAAGUGGAAUUCCAUGUGUAGCGGUGAAAUGCGCAGAGAUAUGGAGGAACACCAGUGGCGAAGACGACUUUCUGGUCUGUAACUGACGCUGAUGUGCGAAAGCGUGGGGAUCAAACAGGAUUAGAUACCCUGGUAGUCCACGCCGUAAACGAUGAGUGCUAAGUGUUAGGGGGUUUCCGCCCCUUAGUGCUGCAGCUAACGCAUUAAGCACUCCGCCUGGGGAGUACGACCGCAAGGUUGAAACUCAAAGGAAUUGACGGGGACCCGCACAAGCGGUGGAGCAUGUGGUUUAAUUCGAAGCAACGCGAAGAACCUUACCAAAUCUUGACAUCCUUUGACAACUCUAGAGAUAGAGCCUUCCCCUUCGGGGGACAAAGUGACAGGUGGUGCAUGGUUGUCGUCAGCUCGUGUCGUGAGAUGUUGGGUUAAGUCCCGCAACGAGCGCAACCCUUAAGCUUAGUUGCCAUCAUUAAGUUGGGCACUCUAAGUUGACUGCCGGUGACAAACCGGAGGAAGGUGGGGAUGACGUCAAAUCAUCAUGCCCCUUAUGAUUUGGGCUACACACGUGCUACAAUGGACAAUACAAAGGGCAGCGAAACCGCGAGGUCAAGCAAAUCCCAUAAAGUUGUUCUCAGUUCGGAUUGUAGUCUGCAACUCGACUACAUGAAGCUGGAAUCGCUAGUAAUCGUAGAUCAGCAUGCUACGGUGAAUACGUUCCCGGGUCU
rnacentral:rRNA from 1 species